AAAGGGUAUCGCUGCUUCUAUCCA
rnacentral:siRNA from 1 species